rnacentral:rRNA from 1 species
UACGUAGGGUGCGAGCGUUACUCGGAAUUACUGGGCGUAAAGCGUGCGCAGGCGGUUUUCCAAGUCCGUUGUGAAAUCCCCGGGCUCAACCUGGGAACUGCAUCUGUGACUGCAUCGCUGGAGUGCGGCAGAGGGGGAUGGAAUUCCGCGUGUAGCAGUGAAAUGCGUAGAUAUGCGGAGGAACACCGAUGGCGAAGGCAAUCCCCUGGGCCUGCACUGACGCUCAUGCACGAAAGCGUGGGGAGCAAACAGG